UACGGAGGGUGCAAGCGUUAAUCGGAAUUACUGGGCGUAAAGCGCACGCAGGUGGCUGAGUCAGUCGAUUGUGAAAGCCCUGGGCUUAACCUGGGAAUUGCAGUCGAUACUACUCAGCUAGAGUAUGGGAGAGGUGAGUGGAAUUUCCGGUGUAGCGGUGAAAUGCGUAGAUAUCGGAAGGAACACCUGUGGCGAAAGCGGCUCACUGGACCAUUACUGACGCUGAGGCACGAAAGCUAGGGGAGCAAACAGG
rnacentral:rRNA from 1 species